UACGGAGGGUGCAAGCGUUAAUCGGAAUUACUGGGCGUAAAGCGUGCGUAGGCGGCUCGUUAAGUCAGAUGUGCAAGACCUGGGCUCAACCUGGGAACUGCAUUUGAAACUGGCGAGCUAGAGUUUGAGAGAGGUAAGUGGAAUUUCAGGUGUAGCGGUGAAAUGCGUAGAGAGCUGAAGGAACGCCAGUGGCGAAGGCGACUGACUGGCUUAAAACUGACGCUGAGGUACGAAAGCGUGGGUAGCAAACAGGAUUAGAUUCCCUGGUAGUCCACGCCGUAAACGAUGUCAACUAGCCGUUGGCUCUCUUCGAGAGUUAGUGGCGCAGUUAACGCAUUAAGUUGACCGCCUGGUUAGUACGGCCGCAAGGUUA
rnacentral:rRNA from 1 species